rnacentral:rRNA from 1 species
AUUGAACGCUGGCGGCAGGCCUAACACAUGCAAGUCGAACGAGUGGCGGACGGGUGAGUAAUGUCUGGGACACUGCCUGAUGGAGGGGGAUAACUACUGGAACCGGUAGCUAAUACCGCAUACCAUCAGAUGUGCCCAGAUGGGAGUAGCUUGUGGGUGGGGUAACGGCUCACCAUGGCGACGAUCCCUAGCUGGUCUGAGCGGAGAACCAGCCACACUGGAACGGAGACACGGUCCAGACGCCUACGGGAGGCAGAAGUGGGGAAUAUGGCACAAGGGGCGCAAGCCUGAUGCAGCCAUGCGGCGUGUAUGAAGAAGGCCUUCGGGUUGUAAAGUACUUUCAGCGGGGAGGCGUUACCCGCAGAAGAAGCACCGGCUAACUCCGUGCCAGCAGCCGCGGUAAUUC